rnacentral:rRNA from 1 species
AGCGGGGGUAACUUAACACAUGCAGUCGAACGGGGAUCAGCUUUGUAGCAAUACAUUGCCUGGUCCUAGUGAGCGCACGGGUGAGUAACACGUGGGUAACCUGCCCUUGAGUUCGGGAUACCCCCUCGAAAGGGGGGCUAAUACCGGAUACGUUCCUUGGAUCGACAGGUCUGAGGAGGAAAGGUGGCGCAAGCUGCCGUCUUGGAGGGGCUCGCGGCUAUUAGUAUUUGGUGGAGGUUAACGGUCCACCAAGGGGACGAUCGGUAGCCGGGCCUGAGAGGGCGGACGGCCACACUGGGACUGAGACACGGCCCAGACUCCUAACGGGAGGCAGCAGUGGGGAAUUGUUCGCAAUGGGCGCAAGCCUGACGACGCAACGCCGCGUGGAGGAUGAAGGUCUUCGGAUUGUAAACUCCUGUUGCCCGGGACGAAAAGCUUCGACCUAAUACGUUGAAUCUGACGGUACCGGGUGAGGAACCCCGGUAACUCUGUGCCAGCAGCCGCGGUAAUACAGAGGGGGCAAGCGUUGUUCGGAAUUACUGGGCGUAAAGGGCGCGUAGGUGGCCUUCUAAGUCAUGCGUGAAAUCCCCGGGUC